rnacentral:rRNA from 1 species
UGAAGAUUUGGUGAUUGAGUGGCGGACGGGUGAGUAACGCGUGGGUAACCUGCCCUGUACAGGGGGAUAACAGUCAGAAAUGACUGCUAAUACCGCAUAAGACCACAGCACCGCAUGGUGCAGGGGUAAAAACUCCGGUGGUACAGGAUGGACCCGCGUCUGAUUAGCUGGUUGGUGAGGUAACGGCUCACCAAGGCGACGAUCAGUAGCCGGCUUGAGAGAGUGAACGGCCACAUUGGGACUGAGACACGGCCCAAACUCCUACGGGAGGCAGCAGUGGGGAAUAUUGCACAAUGGGGGAAACCCUGAUGCAGCGACGCCGCGUGAGUGAAGAAGUAUCUCGGUAUGUAAAGCUCUAUCAGCAGGGAAGAAAAUGACGGUACCUGACUAAGAAGCCCCGGCUAACUACGUGCCAGCAGCCGCGGUAAUACGUAGGGGGCAAGCGUUAUCCGGAAUUACUGGGUGUAAAGGGUGCGUAGGUGGUAUGGCAAGUCAGAAGUGAAAACCCAGGGCUUAACUCUGGGACUGCUUUUGAAACUGUCAGACUAGAGUGCAGGAGAGGUAAGCGGAAUUCCUAGUGUAGCGGUGAAAUGCGUAGAUAUUAGGAGGAACAUCNAGUGGCGAAGGCGGCUUACUGGACUNGAAACUGACACUGA